GGUGAACGCUGGCGGCGGGCCUAACACAUGCAAGUCGAGCGGAAGGACGAGAAGCGUUCGUCUCUACGGUUGGCGAGGGGCGGGUGGGUGACACGUGCAUCACCUUCUUCUAAUACGUGGGGAAUAUCGGGGAACCACUUACAAUACCAGCGAAUAUGUUCAACCGCAUGGUGCAAAAGAUAAAAAGAGCCUUCGCGUCACUUUUAGAUGUAUCCGCGUUGGAUUAGCUAGUUGGUAAGGUAACGGCUUACCAAGGCAACGAUGCAUAGCCGACCUGAGAGGGUGAUCGGCCACACUGGAACUGAGACACGGUCCAGACUCCUACGGGAGGCAGCAGUAGGGAAUCUUCCGCAAUGGGCGAAAGCCUGACGGAGCAACGCCGCGUGAGUGAUGAAGGUCUUCGGAUCGUAAAACUCUGUUAUUAGGGAAGAACAUAUGUGUAAGUAACUGUGCACAUCUUGACGGUACCUAAUCAGAAAGCCACGGCUAACUACGUG
rnacentral:rRNA from 1 species